UACGUAGGGCGCAAGCGUUGUCCGGAAUUAUUGGGCGUAAAGAGCUCGUAGGCGGCCAGUUGCGUCUGCUGUGAAAUCCCCGGGGCUCAACCCCGGGCGUGCAGUGGAUACGGGCUGGCUAGAGGCAGGCAGGGGAGAACGGAAUUCCCGGUGUAGCGGUGAAAUGCGCAGAUAUCGGGAGGAACACCGGUGGCGAAGGCGGUUCUCUGGGCCUGUACUGACGCUGAGGAGCGAAAGCGUGGGGAGCGAACAGG
rnacentral:rRNA from 1 species